AUACGGAGGGUGCAAGCGUUACUCGGAAUCACUGGGCGUAAAGCGCGCGCAGGCGGUCUUUUAAGUUGGAUGUGAAAGCCUACGGCUCAACCGUAGAACUGCAUCCAAAACUAUUAGACUAGAGUGUGGGAGAGGAAGAUGGAAUUAGUUGUGUAGGGGUAAAAUCCGUAGAGAUAACUAGGAAUACCAAAAGCGAAGGCAAUCUUCUGGAACACUACUGACGCUGAGGUGCGAAAGCGUGGGGAGCAAACAGGAUUAGAAACCCGUGUAGUCC
rnacentral:rRNA from 1 species